CAGUCGCCGCGGGAAUACGAAGGGGGCUAGCGUUGCUCGGAAUGACUGGGCGUAAAGGGCGCGUAGGCGGCGAUCAAAGUCAGGCGUGAAAUUCCUGGGCUUAACCUGGGGGCUGCAUUCAAUACGUGCGGGCUAGAAUGUGGAAGAGGGUUGUGGAAUUCCCAGUGUAGAGGUGAAAUUCGUAGAUAUUGGGAAGAACACCGGUGGCGAAGGCGGCAACCUGGUCCAUAAUUGACGCUGAGGCGCGAAAGCGUGAGGAGCGAACAGGAUUAGAUACCCCCGUAGUCCCUGUCUCUUAUAC
rnacentral:rRNA from 1 species